AAUGAAUCGGAUGCUCCUAAAAUGAGCAUGGUAGUGCCAAGUAUUAAAAGAAGAGUUUAAAAGAGGGAGGAAUUUUACAAAAACGAUAAAUGGGGACUUCUGCCUCCUUCACCUUAGCCAGCUAUGGUGGAGUCACAAAGCCAGGAAUGGAGAAGGAAGCAUGGGAGCAGAGAAAUGUGACACAAAGCAGUGUGGUGAAAGGGCAAGUCAGGAGAAGCACUUUGGUCUGAACAGGCAUCCUUCCUUUUCCAGCCCCAGGGGUGCCCUGAGCAUUGGUGCCCUGAGCAUUGCUAUGCUCCCUUGGGCACUGCACCAAUGGGACCUCGGAUCUGGCCCUCACUCUCAGUGUCAUUUCAUCUCCUCUGUGAGCUGCUUGGGCAGGCUUUUCAAGACUCUGACUUCGUUGCUGGUGACACGAUGCCUACACUACACAACAGUACUCUUCCCUGCCCUCCAUCCCCCAGCAAAAGGGCUACCUAUAGAAGCUGCAUGGUACUGACCUGGUCGUUAUCGGGUAUAACCAUACACACAUAAGUGCAAUGGGGACAACAAAGGCAAUAAGGGCAAAAAACAGAUUGAAGCGAUGGCCUGGAAAUUUGCUUACAGAAAGAAAAGGCACAGAGCUCUCUUGUAGGUUGUAUUCUGGGGAAAAUCCAUGCUUUGGCCAGGAAAGUCCAAGCCUAGAUGUCCACUUACAGGCAGUGUAGGGGGGUGGGGUUUAAAUAACUCUGUAAGUAUUGCACUAGGGAAAAAGAUUUGAGCAUGUGGUUAGUGGGUCUGGUGUGCAUUUUUAAUCCGUUUUCCUAAAAAGGGGGAAGAUACCUCUGGUGCUGUCCAGCUGAAGAUCAGCCGCACCUGGCAUCUUCAUGGCCACAAGUGUGGAAGCCUGGAUGUGGGACUGUGGGGGCAGCAGAACGCAAAGGGGGCUGAGGGCUCUGCUGUGGUGCUGUCUCAUCGGGCAUCUCACUUGUGCUUUGCAGGAGCAAUGCAGGGAAGGGCUGAAGAUGCUGAGAGAUGAUACGAGUGUGCGUUAUGGUCCUGAAAUGCUGUUUGGGUGCAUGAAACAGGGAGAAAUACCUGAAGGGAGUAUCCAGCUGCACGUUCUUUUCCCUUCUUUUUCCAGCUUUCAGCUGAACUGCAAAGCCAAGGGGGUCUGCUAAGAGCCUGGGCCCGUCCAUUUGUCUCUCCCCCUACUUCUCUGUCCCUAACCCCCCUCUCUCUCCCCUCCCGCAGCUCGGGAGGGUGGAGGUGCGAUUCGCUAUGCCAGUUUUUUAUUUCCAGCAUGCUUGACAGGCUGGGCGAGGAAGGCGUUAAUGUUUUCUGACAGGCCCCCUCUAAUUGUUGGAGCUUUUCUUCUCUGCCUUUUCUGUGAAAUUCUGACUUAGGCGAGCAGCAUAACAAAAUGCUCUGGCAUUGAAAUGUGCGCUUGCACUACACUGGGCUCGGGGAAACAGCAUUAUUCAUGAAGAUUUUCAGCUGUUUUUGUCUUUUAACUAACCUUUGAGUUUGAUCAGAGGCUAGCCGGGCUCCCUUUCUCAAAAGGCGGUCUUGGCAACCCGACAAUGGAGCCAAACUGUUUUCCCUGUUAAAGAGAUAACUAUGCCGUUGAGUUGGUACAUGGGGGAAAUUAAUCUUCAGGCGCAUACAAAUGAUAGGUUUACCUCGGUCUGCAAUCGCCUGCAUGGGAUUAUUAAUAGGACGCGGGUAAGGAGCAGGAAAAAUUCAGUCUGGGGCAGGGAACUUGGGGGAAGAAGAAGAAGAAAAAAAAAAUCCCAAACCCAAACCCAUCAUCCCUUUUGAUUGCAUAAAGCCUGCGAUUGAUUCCUCACCACUUGCCUUUUGCAGCAGGAAUUAGCUGUGCAUUGUGCGGGCUGACACGCUAAAAGCGAGCCCGCUUGGGAGCAAGAAGUUGCUGCGCGCUGGGACGGAGCGGGGUGGCGGCCGGGGGCGGGGGGCUCUCCCCGCUCCCCUUUGCAAAGGGCGGAGGUGUUGGGGGGGGUGGAGGGGUGGAGGAGGCAGAGAAUGCCCCCUGCCCUUCAAGGCGAGCUAAUCCCUGAAUGCACUGAGUAACAGGCGCUGCAUUAUGGAGCCCCCCAGUCCCCUCGGCGCUGCAGCGCCCGCCUGCCCUUGGGCAGGUGCCCGCUUACCGGGGGGAAAAACAACAAAAAAGGGAAAAUAAAGUUUUAUAAAAGGCUCCCCA
rnacentral:lncRNA from 1 species